UCCUCCCCACGCCCAAACCCCCUCCCCACUCCCCCGCAGUCCCCUCCCAAUCCCUCACUCCCACGCCCCCGACCCUCGGCGCAGACGGCGCCGUCGGUGCCGAGGAAGAAGCGCAAGGUGAGCCUCCCGAAGAACGAGGAGGUCGCGGCCAGGAUCUUCGAGAAGCACCGCUCCAUGGCAGCGCAGCAGCCGGCCGGCCUCCCGGACCACCAGCACCAGGCUCGCGCGCUCUGCACCGCCUACACCGGCGUCUGCGCCGCCAAGUAGCCCGUCCGGACCCCCGGCGACCUGUCUCAAGGGAGUUGGAGGUUGGGUUGUUGACGUCAUGGAAGUCUCCUUUCAGGGUCCAGCCUUGAUUUGUCCCCUCCGAGAAGUAAUACACCAGGAGAAACGGGGAAGAACACACUAAACAAACCUUAUGUGCCAUGGUUGAAAUCAGCUGCUUAUGCAAUAAUGAUCACACUCUACAGGGAAAUGGAAAGAGGGAAGGAAUUUAUGAUGAGGCAAGAGCUUAUUGACGCUGCUGAGGCCAGUGGUCUGUCACAACAUGCAAUAGACCCAAACAACAGUAGGAAUUCUUGGAAUGAUGGUUACAGUUACACUGGAUGGAAUAGCAUGAAGACGUUAACAAAUAAGGAUUUGGUUGAGAAAAAGAGUAAUCCUGCAAAGUAUUACCUAACAGAAAAAGGCAAAGAGACAGCUCGCGAUUGUCUCGCAUGAUCUGGAUUGGACGGUCCUGCAGGACCUUUAACAGCGGCCGGUCAUCCUGCAGUUGUGCUCAGCGAUGCAGGUUCUGAUGAAUAUGACGGAAGAAGUCCCCUGAUAGCAGGCCUAAUCAGGCUCCGGAGGAGGGGGCAGCAGCGGGGGCGCCACACGGAAGGCCAUCGAGCAAAGAUCGGCGAGGUGGGUGUUGAUGGUGUCCCGAUCCUGGGGCCGGCUAAGCGGCCACCAAAGUUGCAGGUAACCACACAUUUUAAAGAUCGCGUCAAUUGCACAUCGGAGAGGUACUUUCUGAAUAACAAGCUUGUUGUGGAUGGUCCAAGCGUCCAGGCGAGGACCCAACGCACAACCAUCUAAUAUGGCGGUGGCGAGGGGCGGAGGCGUGGAUCUCCGCAAGCAGGUCCGGGAAGUUGGUGUUGCACCACUGUCCACCGACCGUCUCGCGAAGGCAGGACCACAGGAAUUGGGCCGUGGAGCAGGAGAAGAAGAUGUGGUUAGCAUCCUCCACUGUGCCACACAGGGGCAUAUCCCGUCUCCUGGUCCAUUACGCUUGAGGACCUCUACCCCAGAGGGAAGGCGUCCUCGGAUCCACUGCCACAGGAAGAUCCUGAUCUUCAGAGGAAGGCGAAUGUCCUAGAUCAGGCUAAAGGGCUCAGGGGCCAACGAGGGAGCGAUAGCCGAGUAUAAGGACUUAGUGGAGAAGCGGCCGGAGGGCUCCAGUCGCCAAGAGAUGGAGUUAGGGGCACCCUUGACGUCCAUCGGUAGAAGGGCAAUGUCCUGGAGGAGGGAGUCCCAAGCGGCCACCUCAAGGGGGCCGAUGUGGCGCCGCAAAGCGAGACGCCCUAAGUCAAUAAGGGCCCUCUUGAUAGAGAACCGAGGGUCAACCGCUAUGGAGAAUAGUUUCGGGAAUCGGGCGGCCAGGGGGGAGUCCCCCGCCCAAUGAUCGAACCAGAACAGGGUCGAGGACCCGGAGCCAACCAAGAUGGACGUGCCAAUGCGGAGCACGGGUAGAAGCUGAAUCACAGUCUGCUAGAACUGGGAGCCACCAGAACGUUGACAGAAAGCUAAGGUUGGCCUCGAAGGUACUUAUUGCAGAUGAUGGUAAGCCAGAGUCCUCCCUCCCCAUUGGCGAUUCACCAGAGCCAUCGGGUCAGGAGAGCAAUGUUCAUGCGCCGAGAAGACAAGAUCCCAAGUCCUCCCUGGUCCUUGGGUUUGCAAAUGUCGGGCCAGCUCACCAUAUGGUAUUCCUGCUUUUCUCCCUCGCCUGCCCAGAAAAACCUGGACCGAUAUUUGGCGAUCUCCUGAUGGAGAGUCUCAUGAAGGCUGUAGAAGCUCAUGAGAAGCCAGAGGAGGCUGGCAAGCGAGGAGUUGAUGAGGAUCACCCUGGCCGCCUUCGAGAGCCACCUCCCCUUCCAAGGCUCCACCCGGUGCUGCAUCCGAGUCAUUGCGGGCGCAGGUCAGCUACGGUGAGUCGCGAGUCACUAAUGGGUAUCCCCAAAUAAGUCAUGGGGAAAGUACCCAGCCGACAGUUCAGACGGUCGGCCAUGGCUUGGGCCUCCUCAGGGGAGUAGCCCAGAAUCAUCACUUCGCUCUUAUCGAAGUUGAUGGUGAGCCCGGACAUCUGUUGGAAGCAUGGGAGGAGGAACUUUAGGUUGGCUAUGUCGGACAUGGAGCCCUCCACCAUUAUUAUGGUAUUGUCUGCAUAUUGUAGGAGGGAGACCCCCCCCCUACCAGGUGAGGGACUACGCCGUGGAUAUGGCCAGCAGAUUUGGCCUUAUCCAGGAUGACAGCAAGGGCAUCGACCACGAUGUUAAACAGAAACGGGAAGAACGGGUCAUCCUGGCGAACCCCAUAGAGAGUGGGGAAGUAUGGACCUAUCUCUCCGUUAAUGUUAACCGCGGUCCGAUCGCAGGUGACGAGCUGCAUAACUCUGGUUACCCACCGGUCAUCAAAGCCCUUGCGGAGCAAGACUUCCCGAAGGAAGGGCCAGUGAACCGUGUCAUGGGCUUUAUGGAAGUCGAGCUUCAGGAAGACCGCUCGAUGGUGCUUGGACCGAACUUCAUGAAGAACUUUGUGGAAGACUAACACCCCAUCCAGAAUAAACCGCCCUUGGAUGAAGGCAGAUUGGUUGGGGUGGGCGACGGUGUCAACUAGAAGGGUCACCCUAUUGGCGUACCCCUUGGCCAAGAUCCGGAAUAUCACAUUGAUCACAGUGAUAGGCCGAAAUUGGCGGAUGUCAGAAGCACCCGAAACUUUGGGGAUGAGUGUGAUGACCCCAUAGUUUAGGCGCCAAAGGUCCAUGGCCCCCGAGUAGAAUUCAUCGAAGAGGGCCAUGACUUCCGGUUUGAUGGUUUGCUAGAACGUUUUGAAAAACGUCACUGGCAGCCCAUCCGGAGCCGGGGCCGAGGAGGUGUUCAUACCCUUUAUGGCCAUGAGGACCUCGUCCUCGGAGAAAGGCGCCACCAAGGCGACAUUCGCCUCGUCAGACACUAACUGGGCAGCUGACCAAGUGUCGGGGGCCAGUGCCGCCCCACCCCUAGGGGUGGCGGAAAAUAGGGCUUUAUAAAAGCCAUCGACGUGGACUCGGAUGUCCGAAGGACGGACGAGAGGGGUAUCUCCAUCCCACAAGCAAUGGAUGGAGUUCCGGCGCCGCUGCCCAUUGGCAAUCGCCUGGAAGUAAGCUGUAUUGGCGUUUCCACGGAGCACCCACUGUUGGGUGCUGCGGAGCCUCCAGUAUGCUUCUUCAUCCGUGUAGAUGGUCGAGAGCUGAUCCUCGAGAUCAUAUCUCAGCAUCCACUCAUCCGGGGAAAUCCCGGAAGUGUCAGCGUAGGCGUCUAGGGCUUGGAUGGCAAUCAGGAGGGCUUUCUUGCGCUCGCCAAGGUCCCACCCAAGGUUCAUGCCCCACCCCUUCAUAAAUUGGCGGGCGAGCUUGGCACAGAACUGCCACGAGUCAACGGCGGACAUGGAGCGGUGGGAAGAUGAGCGUGCGGAGAUCCACUUAGCCGCGACCGCCUCGAGGAAUCCCACCUAGUUGAGCCAGAAGAGCUCAAACCAAAAAACGCA